rnacentral:rRNA from 1 species
CACGUAGGGUGCGAGCGUUGUCCGGAUUUAUUGGGCGUAAAGAGCUCGUAGGCGGCUUGUCGCGUCGACCGUGAAAACUUGGGGCUCAACCCCAAGCCUGCGGUCGAUACGGGCAGGCUAGAGUUCGGUAGGGGAGACUGGAAUUCCUGGUGUAGCGGUGAAAUGCGUAGAUAUCAGGAGGAACACCGGUGGUGUAGACGGCUUACUGGACCACGACUGACACUGAGGCACGAAAGCGUGGGUAGCAAACAGG